rnacentral:rRNA from 1 species
GCGGCCUAUCAGCUUGUUGGUGGGGUAAUGGCCUACCAUGGCUUUGACGGGUAGCCGGCCUGAGAGGGUGUCCGGCCACACUGGGACUGAGACACGGCCCAGACUCCUACGGGAGGCAGCAGUGGGGAAUAUUGGACAAUGGGCGGAAGCCUGAUCCAGCAACGCCGCGUGAGGGAUGACGGCCUUCGGGUUGUAAACCUCUUUCGCCUGNGACGAAGC